GUUCCUUCAAAUCAUUAUUCUUUCAUGACUUUCCAGCUAGAGGAUUAUUUUCAUGCUUAUGAAAAUCUAAUUCUAAGAUUAUUCUUAUAAGUUCCGAUAACUCGUCUAAAGGCACCAUCUAGGGAUGGAUUGCUCAAGCAUGUUGCUCAAGAUUUGUAAAGUUGACAAAGGAUGUACUUGAAAGAAGAGGCUUUAAGGAAUCCAGCUUCUUGAAUGAGGUGGCAGAGGUGGU
rnacentral:lncRNA from 1 species